GCCCGGUUAGUUCAACGGCAGAACAGUAACUUGGUAAGUUACAAACGAGAGUUCGACUCUCUCACCUGGCU
rnacentral:tRNA from 1 species